UGCCCAAGAGAUCGGGAUAACACCUGGAAACAGAUGCUAAUACCGGAUAACAACANAUGAUGCCUAUCAACUGUUUAAAAGAUGGUUCUGCUAUCACUCUUGGAUGGACCUGCGGUGCAUUAGCUAGUUGGUAGGGUAACGGCCUACCAAGGCGAUGAUGCAUAGCCGAGUUGAGAGACUGAUCGGCCACAUUGGGACUGAGACACAGCCCAAACUCCUACGGGAGGCAGCAGAA
rnacentral:rRNA from 1 species